rnacentral:lncRNA from 1 species
GGAAGCUGUUAGCGGAACAAGGAUUAGUAGUACUUUCAAAUGCAAAAAAUGGGGCCAGUAUCAGCUCACUGGUCAAAAAAAUCACAGAAUUUACAGAUAAUAAAACUGCGGCUAGCAGGAGCCCAUUUCUUGUAGACCAAGUUCAAUUGUCUAAUAAGAACCAGAGGAACUGAAAGUGGAACCGAAAGUGUAAAUGAGGACCAAAAUGCGCAAUAGAUAAAGUGAAAUGGGAAGCAAAGCUUCAAAGGGCACUGCUAAAAUAAAUAUACUGAGAGGAAUAGCUUAAGUCCGCCAAUGAGAUAGAAUUGAAAAAGACCGGACCGUCUACUCCUGUGUCUAUCUAUCCUUGGUAUAAUCUUUACUCCCAGCUGAUCCCUUCUACUCUGUUUAUUCACAUUACUGCUGCUUCUUUUGAAGGUAAGAACUCAGUUUGCAUUCAUUUAUUAAUUCAAUUAAUAUUGAGGACCCACUAUUUGUGAGGUAUGAUUAUGGUUCCAAGAAACUGGAAAAGCAAGUAAGUCAUAUGUAUUAGUCAGGAGAGGCUGGGCCCUGCUGCAGUAACCAGAAAGUUCAGAAAAGUAAAACAGUGAGCUGAUUUGCCUUUCAUUUUACAGGUCCAUCUCUGGUCAUCAGGAGGAUUUACUUCCAAGUCAUUCAGAGACCCACAUUCAAUAGGUGCUUCUAUAUUUCUGCAGCAGUGGAAAAAGGACAUGACUGCCUUCCAGAACAACUCGGCAUUCCAAGCAAGCCUCUUGUUCCUCGUCUCCAAAUUCCAUCUGAUGUGAUCCAGUAUGACACUAAGGAAAGUGAGUCUACCUUCAGCAAACGUGGCUGCUAAUGGUAGCAAAGUGCGCUGAAGACGAAAAGGUCUCUGCUAGUACUAAGCAUUAUCAUUCUGUUUUGGAUGUCAGUAUGUACUUUAAAAAAAAGAUUCAAUUAAACUGCUUUGCCAC